rnacentral:pre_miRNA from 1 species
UUCCCAGUGACAGUUUCGCUUUGUGACCGUUAAACACGGGUAUUUUCAAAUUUUUAAAAUUCUAGAACCCGUUUUUCCGUUCACAACCAACGAAACUGUAACUA